rnacentral:rRNA from 1 species
GGCGGACGGGUGAGUAAUGUCUGGGAAACUGCCUGAUGGAGGGGGAUAACUACUGGAAACGGUAGCUAAUACCGCAUAACGUCGCAAGACCAAAGAGGGGGACCUUCGGGCCUCAUGCCAUCUGAUGUGCCCAGAUGGGAUUAGCUAGUAGGUGGGGUAACGGCUCACCUAGGCGACGAUCCCUAGCUGGUCUGAGAGGAUGACCAGCCACACUGGAACUGAGACACGGUCCAGACUCCUACGGGAGGCAGCAGUGGGGAAUAUUGCACAAUGGGCGCAAGCCUGAUGCAGCCAUGCCGCGUGUAUGAAGAAGGCCUUCGGGUUGUAAAGUACUUUCAGCGAGGAGGAAGGCAUUGUGGUUAAUAACCACAGUGAUUGACGUUACUCGCAGAAGAAGCACCGGCUAACUCCGUGCCAGCAGCCGCGGUAAUACGGAGGGUGCAAGCGUUAAUCGGAAUUACUGGGCGUAAAGCGCACGCAGGCGGUCUGUCAAGUCGGAUGUGAAAUCCCCGGGCUCAACCUGGGAACUGCAUUCGAAACUGGCAGGCUAGAGUCUUGUAGAGGGGGGUAGAAUUCCAGGUGUAGCGGUGAAAUGCGUAGAGAUCUGGAGGAAUACCGGUGGCGAAGGCGGCCCCCCUGACAAA